UCCCUCCCAUUCUAUUUUUAAAUACUCUAGGAACAACAAGUAAGCCUGCAGCGUGAGAGCGAAGUGCUCUAAUAGGGUGAUAUGGUACUACAAGGUCAUUAAGAUAAGAUGGGGCCUGAUUAUUUCAGACCUUGUGUAGCCUGGUUAAUAUAUCUAUUUUAGACCCUACAGGUUGAAAGGAUAUAAAUAUUGUAAUGUAGAGACUUUAUUGUAAAUAUUUCAUAUAUUUGUUUAAAAAAAACAAAAAAGAGUUCAAAUGCAUUAAAAACGUGUUUAAAAUCACAAUAAAUAGAAGUCAAUCAUAAUUUAAAUGUUCAUGGAGUUAUAAGUUACAAGAAAACCAAAGGUUAGUUAUCUAAUGUGAAACAAGGAAAACUUUAUUUGCAGCAGCACGUUACCGUGUGUUUGUCCCAGUGUAGUCAGCAGCCCGGGUAUACCGCUAAUUCCAACCACGUUGCUGAGUGGAGGCCGCAUGGUCGCCAACCGAGCCUGCCCCUCAGCUUGCCCUCGCACUUAGCCCAAAGGAUUUGUGAGUAGACCUGAGCACAUGCGUUUUGUUUUCUGCUUGUUUACCAAGUGAAGCGGCCAUUUGUGUGUUUUCUGGUCCAACGAGCCCGAGCAACGAUCAGGCCUGCAACGGUUUCAGUGAAUGAGCUCACAAAGGUCUCUCAGGUCAGCUGACAAGCUGCUCCUAGAGGUACCCAGGUCCAAGAGAAAGCUCAGAGGGGACAGGGCCUUCUCUAUUGCUGCUCCUAAUCUGUGGAACAAUCUGCCCCAGCACAUUAGAGAGGCCCCUUCACUGUCCACUUUUAAAACACGUCUUAAAACCCAUUUUUACUCCUUGGCAUAUGACACAGUCUGACCCUGAUUUUAUUGAUUUUAUUGUUUUGAUCUAAUGUGCUGAUUUUAUUGUUUUAAAUGUAAUUCUCAUCAUCAUUUUUUUAUUCUAUUUUAUUAUUGUUUUUGCUAUUUGUGCUAAUUUUAUUUAUUUUAAUGUCAUUUUAAUAAUCAUUUUUGUAUAUAUAUUUUAUUUAUUUUAUAUUAUUAUUUUUCUUAUUUUUUAACAUGUUCAAUGUAUCAUUUUGGCAUGUCAAGUGUACAGCACUUUGUGUUCAGCUGGGGGCUGAUCUGAAAGUGCUAUAUAAAUUGCUUGCUUGCUUGCUUGCUUUUUGAGGUCGCGAUUUUUCCACUCACAUCUGUGGAGUUUCUGUACGGCAUCUUUGUUUUGAAGUGCAGCCUCCUGAUUCAGCAUUGACCGUAGUUCUGUAAUUUCUUUGUCCUUUUCUGUGACCAGUUGUUUAUAUUUGCAUAACAAAUAUAAAGCGCUUUAUUUAUUCUGCAGGAAAAACAUUCCCCAUCAGCAUUUUACACUAUAUAAAUCAAUAUUACUGCUGACGAUUUACUGACAAUGGUUUUCAGAAAUGCAUUCUUUUCAUACAUUCCCCCUACAGAGCUCUGUGUGUUUUGAAUGCAUUUAAACAGUGCAUUUUUCUUUCUUUUGUAGACCUUUUCAUAUCUUUUGUAGCACAAACUUUGAAACAUAUGUUUCUGACAAGAGAUUAGUAUUUAUCAAAAAGCAAUAAAAUGCCUCAAUUUGAAACGGGGAUAUGUUGUCAAGUUUAUACUACUUCAGAUUAAAUACAUUUAACACAGUGAGAGAAUUAGAGGUUAAAGUUUUUAGUUCAACAUACAAGUGAAGACCUUUUAUCUUACAUUGGGUUUAAAGCUGCCAGAGAAAAUAUCAUGUUCUUGAUGCAGCUGACUGCAGAUAUGCAGUGUUGAAAUCAGAAGAUGUGCAGGUCUGAGAUCAGCAGUUUUCAUAAAAAACAAACUUGUUCUCCUGUAUAGUGACAUCAGCCACAUGGAUGAUUAAUCCCUUUAACUUUUUGUCAAGAAAGAGUAUGGAAAGAGUAUGCUUUAUACAAAAGAAUACACUCCUCUUAAAAAGGUGUCCUUAGCAAAAGUCCUGACAGCCCAGCCUGUCCAACCAAUCGGAUAGUUCCUUACAUCUGACCACAUGGGUAGUUUAUGUUGUUUGUUUUUUUUCCAAGGACCAAAGUAAUCACAAAAAUGCUAAAUGUGAGCAUUUAGCAUUUUUGGUCUGUAGAAAUUCUUCUACAGACCAAAGCAAAAUAUGUACACUUCAAAAAGAUCUCCAACGGGCCACAAACACUUUGCUAUGUUUUAAAUUUAAUCAAGUCAUUGUUAUGAUAUGUGUAUCAAAGUUAAGCAGCAUAGUACAAUACAGUAAAUGUAAAGCGGUGUGUCAGACGCACUUGUUGAAUCCACAUAGUUCAAUCAAAACUACACAUUUAUAUAUAGUAUUUAAUCACACUAACAAUACCACGAGAGCCUACAAAUACAGUAGACAGUGCAACAUUUCUUGAAGGUCUGCAUUUUGCUGUAACAUCACAAUCAACCUCAACAGGAAUCAUUUGUUUUUCUUAUAUAAAACCUGAACCUUCCAGAAGGUGGAUGGCAGAAAGCAAAAAUCAGCCACAGCUAAAAAAACAACAAAAAAAACAAACAAAAAAAGGUUGUAUUAUACAUGCUAUGCUUUCAAGUCCUCCAGGAGCAACUGAAGUUCAGAGAAAAAUCAAAGCUACAAAAUCAUCUCACCUCCCUAUAGCACUCACAGUCACAGGACUAGAUAUUCCAUAAACCCAGUUAAUAUUUUGAAUAACACAGGAAACAUGGUAAAGCUAAUCUGAUAGUUAAUCUGUUAGCUCAACCCAUAGUUAAUACCAAAUCUAAUACAUGAGCUACUAUGAUAGUUGUUCCCAUAGCUAACAGGAAAUAGAAAUACAUUUAAAACAGAAGACUGGAAUUGCCAUUUUGGAAAUAAAUCUCUAUUCAUAAUUAGACUUUUGAAUCAUUUUAUUUGUUUUGUUUUUUGAAAUCAGGUUGUGAUUGAGUUUAAUCCCCUUUCCUUAAAAUCUAUUUCAUUUGAAGUAUUUAUGAAUAGAUUAAUAGUUCAUUUUGAAGUAUUUGUAUUUAAAUUAUUAUUCUGUCCCUUGGGUAUUUCUGAGGUAUGUUUUAAGUUUGUUAUAUUUGUUCUGUAAGUAAUGGGAUCAAUAUAUAGGUCUAUCCUUGAUCUUCUCAUGACAAAGCCUUGCCAUCUAGUGUGUUAAUGGGGAAGCGCCAGAGUUUUUCUCCCAGCACUCGACAGGGAAGGUCCAUUUCUCUGUCUCUAACAAUUACUGCAUCUGUUGCUCUUGAAAAGUCAUAAUCUUUUUUAAAAAGAACGAAAGUAUUUACAAAUGGCGCAAAUCAGUAAAGCUCUGAAGAAUGCAACACGGUCUCCUGAGUGUUCACUGAAACCAUUUAAUGUUUAGCUCUCUGCAUAAGCCGGAUAGAGACAUUCAGCUGAGGGCAGAAGUAUCUUUAUAUUGUCCAUUGAAUGAUCAAGCAAUGAAUUUUAUAAUUUAUACAUAUAAAGGGAUAAAUAAAAUAAAUUAAAGGAAUUAAAUUAUUUUGUAAAUGACAUUAAUAACUAAUGCAUAUUUUAAUGCACAUGAUUCUCCUGGUCUUCCAUACUUAACAGAUUAACAGUGAAAAGAAAGAUAUAGCCUAAUCUCUUAUUUUGACUGUAUUUAUUAAAAAAAAUUUAAGAAAAAAAAAAAACACCCACAGCUUUAAUGUUUUUUAAUUUAAAAAAUCCAUAAAGCUAUUUUUUAUUGAAUACAUGAACUGUAACAUCAACCAAUGGUUUCAUAUUCUGCUUCCAAAUGAGUCUUUCAGCCCUCAUUUUUGUGAGGGUUACUAGAUUUGAAUGAGUCAAGUCAGUUUGAACUUGGCAUCUAAGGCUAGAAAGCUUGGUUAGGAAGCAAACCACACAUCUCCCACAUACAGACAUACAGUGCUCAGCAUAAAUGACUACACCCCCUUUAAAAAGUAGAAAUUUAAUCAGUAGCUCAAUGAACAAAAGAACAGUUUCAAAAAUGUUCACAAGGCUGAGUUUUAUUGAACACUUGUUUUUAUAUCCAUAACAUGAAAUUAAGGUUAAUAAUAUAACUUAAAAUCACAAAAUCUUCAGUUUUACUCAAAUUGGUUGAAGCAAAGAUGAAUACACCCCACAACAAAAACUACUACAUCUAGUGUUUUGUAUUACCACCAUGAUUUUCAAGGACAGCACCAAGUCUUCUAGGCAUGGAAUGAACAAGUUGGCGACAUAUUGCAAUCUAUCUUUUUCCAUUCUUCAAGAAUAACCGCUUUUAGAGAGUGGAUGCUGGAUGGAGAGUGAUGCUCAACUUGUUGCUUCAGAAUUCCCCACAGGUGUUCGAUUAGGUUCAGAUCAGGAGACAUACUUGGCCAUUCAAUCACCUUCACCCGUUCUUCUUCAGAAAUGCAAUAGAAGCUUUAGAUGUGUGUUUUGGAUCAUUGUGUUGGAAAAUUGCACGACGACCAAGUGCACUGAGUGAUGGCAGCAUCUUCUCCUUCAGUAUAGAGCAGUACAUUGUUGAGUUCAUGAUACCAUCAAUGAAAUGCAGCUCCCCAACACCAGCAGCACUUGUGCAGCCCCACAUAAGGACACUGCCACCGCCAUGUUUCACUGUAGGCACCAUGCAUUUCUCUUUGAAAUCCUCACCUUUACGACGCCAUACAGUUUUGAAACCAUUAGUUCCAAAAAACAGUGAUCUGUGUCUCAUCACUCCAGAGUACAGAAUCCCAGUAGUCGUCAACUUUUUCAGCAUGGGCCCUAGCAAAUUCUAGGCGUGCUUUUUUGUGCAUGGGCCUUAGGAGAGGCUUCCUUCGUGGACAAUACCCAUGCAUGCCAUUCCUCUGCAGUGUGCGCCGUAUGGUGUCACGGGAAACAGUCACUCCAGUUUGGCUUUCCAUUGCUUUAUCUAUCUGCAGUGAACUUGCAUGGCGAUUUUCUUCAACCCUUCUCAUCAGAAGUCGCUCCUGUCGAGAUGUUAACUUCCUUGGACAGCCUGGACGUCUCUGUAAGAUGGUUGCACUUCCAUCUUUCUUAAAUUUUUUGAUCACUUUUACUACAGUAUUUUGACUGAUAUGUAAAGCUUUGCUGAUCUUCUUGUAACCCUCACCCUUUUCUGUAAAGAAAUGAUUUCCUUUCUCAGAUUUUGUGACAUUUCUCUUCCAUGUGGAGCCAUCACUGCAGCAUGAAAUGGGCAGGGCUUUUCUUUGUUAAGUAAUUCCCUUUUAUCGUCACCUGUUUGCUGGACACCUCUUAAAUGACUCAUUAGACUCACCUGUGGUUGAAUGACUGUUAAUUCGAAUUUUGUAGUCUUAAGUGUGGCUUUUCUCCUAAGACUAUAAUUGGUGUGUACUAAUUUUUGCGACAUUGGCUUGAAUUAAUUUGUUUGGAAAAAUCACUUUGUGUGUGCAAAUUCACAAAUCUUGUUUGCAAUCAAUGGCCCACAUUUGUGGGAGUAUAUUGUAGUAUAGUAUCUCAUAGGAAAUGUUGAUUGUGAAAGGAAACUAAAGGUUUUCUGACAAAUGUAGUGGGGUGUACUCAUUUAUGCUGUGCACUGUAUAUCUGCUAAUUAGUGCUAAGUGAUGGACCAUAUACUCAGAAAAACUGAGGCCUAAACUUCUUCGGUGGUCUGUACCACACAGCAAGCCAUUGUCAAUUAAUUUAAUUAAAAUUUGAUUCAAGACAGACUGACAGAACAAACACAGUUAAGUGGUUCAGCUCAGUGACUCAGUGAGGCCUUGCAGAUAACUGUCAGCCAGCCUGUCAGUCAAAGCAGUCACUUUGAAGGAAAUUCAGAACCACUAGAAGAAAUUUAAUGCAGAAACAUAAUCAUUUAAAUUAGAAAUAAUAAACGGUGAUAGUAUAAAUGUAACUGAGCAUUAAAGAUUCCAAAAAUGUUACAUACCAAAAUAAUAUUACGUUUUAGAUGACAAUUGUGGGUGCUCAUCUUAAACAAAUGCUAAAUUUUCUCUUAAUGAGCUCAGUGUUUGUAAGUAAUCCCUGUGAGCCAAAACCACCUUUAAAGCUCAGGAGCUGAUUUUUUUUAUUCUUUUUUUUACUUUAGCAGAGUCCACGAAAACAAGUAUAAGCUGUAAAUGAGGACAGCAGAUGCACUUUGAAACUGAAAAGACAAGUGACACCCACUGAACCAAGAACAAACGCAGUGGUUUAAUCUUGCAUAUUCAGAGCUAUAAAUUUAUUUGCAUUCUGCUACAGUAUGUUUCAUUGGCAUUUCAGAAAAUAAGUCACCCUUCAGUUAAAACAUACAUGUAUAUUUACUGAUAUAUGUAUAUAUGUUUGCAAGUAUAACUGAUUCCAACAAGUCAAUAACGUCAACAUUCACAACAAAUAUUUCGGUAGCUCAAAGUUUAAAACAGCAAUACUUCAAGGGACAAUCCCCUCUAAAAAUCAAGUGUGCAUAUUUUCGCAUAUUUCACCUGGACUAUAGCACUCAUCUAGAUUAUUUUGGUGUGGGUUUCCUAGUUUUAGAAAUGUGACAUUAUUGAGAAUACAGUGGAACCUGGAAUCUCAAAAAGCUAAUUUGGUAUUAACACUCAGCAGCAGCAUCUGGUUCCUUACAACCAUCCACAAACGUCACUGCAAGCAGUGAGCAGGAACUAUUUUCUUUCUUUUGUCUACAUCUGCCAAUUAAAGGAAGUGUGCUGUUAGCUAACAUUGGGUCAUAAUGUCUGGGAAGAGAAUUUGCUUCAGAGUUUUCCUAAUAUAUUUAUAUAUGUAUGUAUUAAACAUUCUUUUUUUUUUUUUACCGGUGCUUUGAGCAUCACAAGCCAGUUUAGUUUCUUUAAAUUCAAGAGAUGGGGGAGACACCUCUACAGCUGAUACUUUUAAAGCUUCAAACUAAAGUAAUCCAGAUCAGGAAAUGCUUCUACAGACCAAAGCAAUAUAUGUACACAUCAAAAAGAUCUCCAACGGGCCACAAACAUUUUGCUAUGUUUUAAAUAAUCAAGUCAAUGUUACAAUGCAUGUAUCAAAGUUAAGCAGCAUAGUACAGUACAGUAAAUGUAAAGCGGUGUGUCAGAGGCACUUGUUGAAUUCACAUAGUUCAAUCAAAACUACACAUUUAUUUAUAGUAUUGAAUCACACAAACAAUACCAUGAGAGCCUACAAAUACAGUAGACAGUGCAACAUUUCUUGAAGGUCUGCAUUUUGCUGUGAUGUCACAAUCAACCAUGUCAUGACAGGAAUCAUUUGUUUUUCUUAUAUAAAACUGGAACCUUCCAGAAGGUGGAUGGCAGAAAGCAAAAAAAUCAGCCACAGCUAAAAAAAAAACAAAACACAAAACCCCCCCCAAAGGUUGUAUUAUACGGCUAUGCUUUAAAGUCCUCCAGGAGCAACUGAAGUUCAUUAAAACACUGAGAAGAGAAAAAUCAAAGCUACGAAAUCAUCUCACCUCCCUAUAGCACUCACAGUCACAGGGCUGGAUAUUCCAAAAGCCCGGUUAAUAUUUUAAAUAACACAGGAAACAUUUAAAAUCAUGACUAGAUCCAGCUUACGUACGUCAGCGAUGCUUUCAGGACAGUACAGAUUACACAGCUAAAAACUCUGUGUCUAUUUUAAAAGGAGUUCCUCCUUUUAAGUCUGUACUGCUUUAAAGAAGAGUGGAAAGGAAAUUUAAGUUGUCUGGUCCUGCAGACCUCUACAGAGUCACAUGCAAUGACUGUGGACGUAGAGCUUCUUUUGACUACUGUCAUCUGAGGGGUUGCUCUAACUAGCCAUUAUCUAACCAUAAAUUAAGACAUUUUUAAUGUAUAAGCAGCUGGUCUGGCAUCACACCGGCUUUGCCAUUGAAAUAAAAACUUAGCAGUGUAGAAUCAAACACUGGCAUCGAGGAUACUCGUCUCCAAGUAGUAAGCAGUGGAGGCUGAAUGCUCAUUUUUCACAGAAUAACUACUCAGUCUGAACGUGACCAUGGUGCCCUUCAAACAAACACGGCCCGUGGGUUUUGCUAACUCAUGUUCCCUUUUCCUUUUCAUUACAGUAGCAGUAAAGUGAAGUUGGAGCCGAACCUAUUCUUAAGAGUAGGUGUGAGUAUUUUUCCUCCCACAGCAUUAUAGUGUGUUCAGACCAAGUACAAAGCCAAGCUUUCAUGUGCCUCCACAUUUGGACUAUGCAAGACUUGACUUGUGAUAUUCUGCACAUCAGGAGAUGUGAACAAAAGUGUCAGAUACUUUAAUUUCAGUGAAAAGUUGUUUUUUUUACACUUUGUGGCAAAAGCCAUAAAGCAUAAACCCAGAGGAGCUGUUAAGUCUUGAAAACACCUUCAAAUUGAAAACCACUCAAGGUGAAUAUUUGUGGGUUGCAAAAUAGUUCAAAAACAGUGGUGCGACAUGAAACUUUGGUUCGCAAUGGCUCUGAACACCACUGUAGUUACUGCAAGUGUGGAGGGGGGUCCACUGGGUGGACUCAGUGAUAUAACUUUGGUGGAGUGAAUGCAUGGAUCCGUGUGGAAAAAAAAAAA